AUGGCCAAAGUCUUCGUCACCCUCAUACAACUCCUUUAUUUGACCCAUGCCCGGAAGUUCAGCUUCAAAAGAAGUCAAGAGGCAUGCACGACGACUCAAAGCAUCGGCCACUCUGUUAGUUAUUCCAGAUUUAUGCACGAUGAGAUAGUUAAACCUCUCAAGAUAUGCUGCCCAUCUUGGGGAAACUCAAAAUCAGCAUUGUCCUUUGCUGAUAAUUACAUCGAGUUAUUUGAAGAGAUUCGCGGCGCUUUGAAAGCACAAAAUCAGAAAUAUAAACAACUUGCUGAUUGCAAAAAGUGGCCAAAAUCAUUCCAAGUCGGUGAUAAGGUGAUGGUCUACCUCCGAAAAGAGAGGCUGCCUUUAGGUGUUAAAGGGAAACUUAGGCAGCGAAGGUAUGGGCCCUUCUCUAUCAUGAGGAAGAUAAAUGAUAAUGCUUAUGUGAUAGAUCUUCCAAGUGACAUGGGUAUCUCCAACACUUUCAAUGUUGCGGACUUGACUCUCUACCAUCCAGAAGAAGCGCUCUAUGAAGAUAACUCGAGGGCGAGUUCCAAACAACCAGGGGAGAAUGAUGAGGAACACUAG
rnacentral:rRNA from 1 species